rnacentral:tmRNA from 1 species
GGGGGUGAUCGGUUUCGACUGGGGAUGUCGAGGCAGAGGAAGCGAGCCGAGGAACGCGGCAAUGAUCUCGUUAACCAUGUGUCGCAAAAAAAUAAUCGCCAAUUCUAAGCGCGAGUCCUUCGCGCUCGCCGUCUGAGCGAGCCUCGAAGGUGUCAGACCGGGCGCGUCCCCGUCCCGGAUCCUGGCAUAAUUUAGGGGACUCCACCGUUCGACCCGGUCACGGGGUCGUGCGGAAAACCAAACAGUGACUGGGCCCGUCGAUAGCUUGUCUGCGUGACUGCCGGGGCCGAGAAAAGCACAGCAGACUGCGCUCGGAGAAGCUCUGGUUCCGCACCACAGGACGCGGGUUCGAUUCCCGCCACCUCCACCA